UACGUAGGGGGCGAGCGUUAAUCGGAAUUACUGGGCGUAAAGCGUGCGCAGGCGGUUCGUUGGGUCCGUCGUGAAAGCCCCGGGCUUAACCUGGGAACUGCGAUGGAAACUAGCGAGCUGGAGUGUGGCAGAGGGGGGGUGGAAUUCCGCGUGUAGCAGUGAAAUGCGUAGAGAUGCGGAGGAACACCGAUGGCGAAGGCAGCCCCCUGGGCUAACACUGACGCUCAGGCACGAAAGCGUGGGGAGCAAACAGG
rnacentral:rRNA from 1 species